UGAGCUCGCUGGGCAGUCGCCGCCUGCCGUCACUGACGGAAGGGGGAGGAAAGUCCGGGCUCCAUAGGGCAAGGUGCCAGGUAACGCCUGGGCGGCGUGAGCCGACGGAAAGUGCAGCAGAAAGGAAACCGCCUAAGCGCCUUCGGGCGCCGGUAAGGGUGAAAAGGUGCGGUAAGAGCGCACCGCGUGACUGGCAACAGUUCACGGCGAUGGUAAACCCCACCUGGAGCAAGACCAAAUAGGAGUCCGUUGGCGUGGCCCGCGCUGGACUCGGGUAGGUUGCUUGAGGUUUGCGGUGACGCAAAUCCUAGAUGAAUGACUGUUCUCGACAGAACCCGGCUUACAGGCGAGCUCGCUUU
rnacentral:RNase_P_RNA from 1 species